GGCUUGGUGCCUCAGCAAUUUGGAAGGCUGGGGUGGAUGGGUUGCAUGAGCUCAGGAGUUUGGAGACCAGCCUGAGCAAGAGUGUGACCC